ensembl:lncRNA
CAGGUGGUGGUGAGGAUGCACCACGUGAGUAGGGUGAGAGGCCUGGAGACUCAACUGGUGUGGGCCAUCUCCAAGGAGACAGCCAGGCUUAGUCCAGAGGGAAUCCCCUACUGUGCCACCAAAGUGCAGUCCAUCACUUGGAUCCAGGUAAGACAUAAAUACUACUGUAAUAGUAUUAGAUUAGGCUUUUCUUCACUUAUUCCAUUUGGCCUUAAUAUGUAUUCUCUCUUUGUCAGCGUGUGGCUGGCAGGGUGACCCACUAUGCGUCUCACCUCCGCCACGAGAUGUCUGUGGACGUGACGCUUGGCUGCUACCAGGUGUGUGUGUUUUGAGCAGCAGACUGAUGUCUCAGUGGUGUACGCCACUCUCCACAUGGGGCUGGACGGGCUUCUCUCCUCUUCAGCGUGGUCGGAGGCUGCCUCCUUCUCUACUCCCACCACUCAGCAGUUCACUGACCCAGAGCCUGAGGGCCACAACUGCUAUGAGGGCUGGGAGGAGGACCUGCUGCCUGAGGAGAGGGAGGUUCCUCUGCUAAAGUGAGUUCCUCUAAAUGUCUGUGUAGUCUGAGCUUGUCAAAUGCUGAAGGAUAGUGGUCAUAAUGCUGUUAUCCCCCAUUGACUCUAAUGGUUGACAUGCUUCAUUCCCUCCCUUUCACAGCCUCCACCUUACCACCAAGAGAGUGGAGGACAUCGCCCUGAGGCUCGUCUCCUUGCGCCAGGCCUUCACUGUGAGUGGACCCACUGUUCUUUUUGUCUCUAUGACUUCUUGUUCUGUCUCCAAGAGGAAGAGGUCUCACCCUAACUCUUCCCUCUUCCCUAGACCCUGCUUGGUUCCACCCUGAGCAGGAACCAUCUGUUUGUGGCGGGAAAGGUCCUCCUGGGCGGCCUUGUUCAGGCCAACCACAUGGACGAGGCCAAAUUCAUCCGUACCUAUAAUGACUUUGUGGACUACCUGAGUGACCCCUCCAAGCGGAAUGACAUUGCGAGGGAGCUGGCUGAGGCAAAGAUCCAUCAUGUGAACAUGAUAGAUGUCCUCUUUGAGCUGGUGCUGUUUGGGAUGAUGACAGCUCAGAAGUCCCUGAUGGUGCACCCUGGUGGGUUCGUGGAGCGUCUGUACGCUCUCCUGUCCUCCUUCCUGCCCACUGCUGCCAACAUGGAGCCAGAGGCUGAUAGAUACCUACUGCUGCUCAAUGUAAGAGUCAAGAGGUUACUUCCUGUUUACUUCCAUAUUCUUAGUGUACUUCCUUUUGACUUCCUUAUUCAUGGUUAACCAGGUUUCAAUGCCAUUUUAGGGGGAGUAUUUCUAAUUGUCUCUCUCCUCUUGAUAAGCUAGUAACUCAGAGCCAUUUUCUAUGUGUUGUGUGGUGUUCUCUUCAGGGCGGACUGAUGGCUCUGCUAGAUGACAUGUUUGGCCAGCAGCUGGCCUGGUAUUUUAACUCCGAGUCUCUGGUCUCUGAGCUCUCCAGCCUCCUGGAGUACCACUUGGAGAACCUCAUGGCCAGCAUGUAGUCCUACUGCAGGGACCAUACUCCUUUCUCCUUCUCUCUCUCUUUUGAAGGAAUUGAGGACUUGAAGUGCUUUGUUGAACCCUGAUUAGUUAACACCCAUUAAUGUAAUGUAUUCUCUUGUUUUCUCUCCCCACAGGAUUAUUGUGACACUUUGCCACCCAACAGGGAUCUAGACACCAAUGCACUACAUUACUUUGCACUGAAUUUGACAUUUCUAAAAUAAAAUAAGUUGUAUUUCAAAAACAUUUUUGUUUCUGUCUUUUCAUCUAUUUGAUUUUAUGACCAUUUCCUCUUCCUGGAGGUAUAAUGCAUAUAUUAGAAUAUUACAUGAACAAUGAUGCUUUAUUAUCUGCAUAUGGAAAUAAAAAACUACGUUUAGUUGAUUUACAGAUACUACAGGCCCACACUUUAUAUGGUUUUGUACAGUGGUUUGUGAUACUGGGGCGGCAGGGUAGCCUAGUGGUUAGAGUGUUGGACUAGUAACCGGAAGGUUGCAUGUUCAAACCCCCGAGCUGACAAGGUACACAUCUGUAGUUCUGCCCCUGAACAGGCAGUUAACCCACUGUUCCUUGGCCAUCAUUGAAAAUAAGAAUUUGUUCUUAACUGACUUGCCUAGUUAAAUAAAAAAAUACUGUACUAUUUAAAAACAUGUAGGAUGACAUACACUGAGUCCACAAUAGACUAGGAACAUCUUCCUAAUAUUGAGUUGCACACUCUUUUCCCCUCAGAACAGCCUAAUUUCCUCUGGGCAUGGACUCGACAAGCUGCCCUAAGCGUUCCACAAGGGUGCUGGCCCAUGUUGUGUUGGCUGGACGUCCUUUGGGUGGUGGACCAUUCUUGAGACACAUGGGAAACUGUUGAGCAUGAAAAAAAACAGUAGUGUUGCAGUUCUUGACACACUUAACCCGGUGCACCUGGCACCUACUAACAUACCCCGUUCAAAGACAGUUAAAUCUUUUCUCUUGCUGAAUCACCCUCUGAAUGACACACACAAUCCAUGUCUCAAUUCUCUCAAGGUUUUAAAAUCUUUCUUUAACUCCCCUUCAUCUACACUGAUUGAAGUACAUUCAACAAGUGACAUCAAUAAGGGGUCAUAGCUUUAACUUGGUCAGUCUAUGUCAUGGGAAAGAGCAGGUGUCCUCAAUGUUUUGUAUUAUCAGUGUGUGUAGUAACCUGGUACAGUAUAAAGUAUACCACUAGAGGGGAUAAUUUCUUCAGUCUUGAAUGUUACUUCUCACUAUCCCUACUCUACAUUAACAGUCACCCAAGUUACCGUAGUCUACAAUGGCAAUCUUAGUUUUUUAUAUUUGCCAUUAAUGUCUGAACCAUUUCCCGUCUUUCCCACUGAAACCAGUAAUGUGAGCGUUCAUGUGAGAGAGGGUGUAGUAGUGCAUACUGACCACUAGUUGGAUCAUAGUGUGGGUGGUGGAGUUCAUGCAGGAACACAGAGGGUAGAGACAUUCUCCAUCACAGUGGAAGGCAGAGUAACCCGUAGGAGCCAAUACCCAGUCCUAAUGGAGAGAAAUACCAUAGAAAUCGAAUGACAAGAUUAGAUGAAUGACUAGAAUAGACUCUUUC